rnacentral:rRNA from 1 species
CUGAACCAGCCAAGUAGCGUGAAGGAUGACUGCCCUAUGGGUUGUAAACUUCUUUUAUACGGGAAUAAAGUGAGCCACGUGUGGCUUUUUGUAUGUACCGUAUGAAUAAGGAUCGGCUAGCUCCGUGCCAGCAGCCGCGGUAAUACGGAGGAUCCGAGCGUUAUCCGGAUUUAUUGGGUUUAAAGGGAGCGUAGGCGGGUUGUUAAGUCAGUUGUGAAAGUUUGCGG